UUGCCCAUGGCAGCACAUACACUAAAAUUGGAACGAUACAGAGAAGAUUAGCAUGGCCCCUGCGCAAGGAUGAUACGCAAAUUUGUGAAGCGUUCCUGAGUUAG
rnacentral:snRNA from 1 species